rnacentral:tRNA from 1 species
AAAUAAAAGUGUCCAGGGAUGGGAAUCGAACCCACAGUGUUCCGCUUACCGGGCAGAUGCCAUGUCCACUAGGCUACAGUAUU